CAUGCCGUAAACGAUGAUAGCUAGGUGUGGGGGGACUGACCCCUUCCGUGCCGCAGCAAACGCAAUAAGCUAUCCACCUGGGGAGUACGACCGCAAGGUUGAAACUCAAAGGAAUUGACGGGGGCCCGCACAAGCAGUGGAGUAUGUGGUUUAAUUCGAAGCAACGCGAAGAACCUUACCUGGACUUGACAUCCCCUGAAUGACUCGUAAUGGAGGAAGCCCUACGGGGCAGGGAGACAGGUGG
rnacentral:rRNA from 1 species